AGAGUUUGAUCCUGGCUCAGGACGAACGCUGGCGGCGUGCUUAACACAUGCAAGUCGAGCGGUUCUUUAUUCAAGCUUGCUUGGGUAAAGGAUAGCGGCGAACGGGUGAGUAACGCGUGGGUGACCUGCCCGGGAGAUCGGGAUAACAGUUCGAAAGGGCUGCUAAUACCGGAUGAUAUCUUUUCUUUUCGGAGGGGAGAUCAAAGCGUUUAGCGCUCUCGGAUGGGCCCGCGUCCCAUUAGUUAGUUGGUGGGGUAAUGGCCAACCAAGGCAGCGAUGGGUAGCCGGUCUGAGAGGAUGUUCGGCCACACUGGGACUGAGACACGGCCCAGACUCCUACGGGAGGCAGCAGUGGGGAAUUUUGCGCAAUGGGGGAAACCUUGACGCAGCGACGCCGCGUGAGUGAUGAAGGCCUUCGGGUUGUAAAGCUCUGUUGGGGGGGAAGAUAGUGACGGUACCCCCUGAGGAAGCCCCGGCUAACUACGUGCCAGCGGCCGCGGUAAGGCGUAGGGGGCGAGCGUUGUCCGGAAUUACUGGGCGUAAAGGGCGUGUAGGCGGCCUUUCAAGUCGGCUGUGAAAUUCCUUGGCUUAACUGAGGGUGUGCAGUCGAAACUGAUGGGCUUGAGUGCAGGAGAGGGUGGUGGAAUUCCCGGUGUAGCGGUGACAUGCGUAGAUAUCGGGAGGAACACCGGUGGCGAAGGCGGCCUCCUGGUCUGUUACUGACGCUGAGGCGCGAAAGCCGGGGGAGCAAACAGGAUUAGAUACCCUGGUAGUCCCGGCCGUAAACUCUGGGGUACUAGGUGUAGGGGGCUUCGAUGCCUUCUGUGCCGUAGUUAACGCAUUAAGUACCCCGCCUGGGGAGUACGAUCG
rnacentral:rRNA from 1 species